rnacentral:rRNA from 1 species
GACGAACGCUGGCGGCGUGCUUAACACAUGCAAGUCGAACGGUGAAGCGCCUUCCUUUUUGGUGGGUGUGGAUGAGUGGCGAACGGGUGAGCAACACGUGAGUAACCUGCCCCCUUCUUCUGGAUAACCGCAUGAAAGUGUGGCUAAUACGGGAUAUUCUGUGUCUGUCGCAUGAUGGGUCUGGGAAAGAUAUUGUUUCGGUGGGGGAUGGGCUCGCGGCCUAUCAGCUUGUUGGUGGGGUGAUGGCCUACCAAGGCGGUGACGGGUAGCCGGCCUGAGAGGGUGGACGGUCACACUGGGACUGAGACACGGCCCAGACUCCUACGGGAGGCAGCAGUGGGGAAUAUUGCACAAUGGGCGCAAGCCUGAUGCAGCGACGCCGCGUGAGGGAUGGAGGCCUUCGGGUUGUGAACCUCUUUCGCCAGUGAAGCAGGCCUGCCUCGUUUGUGGGUGGGUUGACGGUAGCUGGAUAAGAAGCGCCGGCUAACUACGUG